CGCACUGGGCUCCAACCGGGUCAGCCCCGAAUAUCCCAUCCGUUCCUCCCCGAUCCAUGGGGCUUCCUAGCACCGAGGGGUACCUCGCGGCUCACACGCCUCGUGCGAAAGAGAGACGAGACGCGGCCGCGGUCACAAGAGACGGCCAGAACCGCGCGGCGCCGCCGUCGCCGCCGCCGUCGCUGCUAACUCCGUCGGAUGCCUGCUUCCUCUUCUUCCUAGGGAAAGUUGGCCUUCUCCCUCGAGGCACACCCCCCCUCCAUCUUCAUCUAGGGUUUCUCAAUAUGGCCGCCGCCGAUCCGCCGUUCGCCUCGUCCUCCCCUGCGAGCUCGCCAAGCACACCGUCCCUGAUAGCCACGCUCCUCUCCCCUUUCCAGUACCACCGCUGUGAGAGGCCCUCCCUGUUGUUCCUCUGCCUGCUUCCCCAUCACAUUCGUCCUCCCCCUAUUUGAAAAGAGAGUGCGGUCAUGUGGCUUCGGAGCGAAAUGGAUGAGUUGCCUACCUAGAAGAGGGAUGCGAUGGAACUGAAGUGAUGCAUGUGUGUCAGCGUCGUUGCGAAACUGAAACUAUGCUGGGAAGCAGAAACCGAAUUUAAGUGAUGUUUGUGUUGCACCCUAGGUGUUGUUGGUACAUGCUGAUGCAUGCCUGUGUUUGACAUAUGAUGUUUAAACUAUGAUUUGAUCGUGUUGUAUGGCCUUUGAUGUUCUUAGUUUAGACACCAUUGAUCUUAAAGAUUAUGAUUUGUUGGUUUUAGUAGUACUUGAUGAUAUGGCCACUGAUGCUUCAGCCUGUACAGUAGUAAAGAUCGGAUUUAUCAGUGUGUUGUUGAAAGUUCAUGUUAAAAAUGGACCAAAUUUGUCCCUGCAUGCCAAA